GACGAACGCUGGUGGCGUGCUUAACACAUGCAAGUCGAACGGGAUUUAGUAAACAGAAGCCUCGGUGGAAGAUUACUAAUGAGAGUGGCGAACGGGUGAGUAACGCGUGAGCAACCUGCCUAUGACAGUGGGAUAGCCUCGGGAAACCGGGAUUAAUACCGCAUAAAAUCGUAGAAACACAUGUUUUAACGGUCAAAGAUUUAUCGGUCAUAGAUGGGCUCGCGUCUGAUUAGCUAGUUGGUGAGAUAACAGCCCACCAAGGCGACGAUCAGUAGCCGGUCUGAGAGGAUGAACGGCCACAUUGGAACUGAGACACGGUCCAAACUCCUACGGGAGGCAGCAGUGGGGAAUAUUGCACAAUGGGGGAAACCCUGAUGCAGCGACGCCGCGUGAACGAAGAAGGUAUUCGUAUCGUAAAGUUCUGUCAUAUGGGAAGAUAAUGACAGUACCAGAGAAGAAAGCUCCGGCUAAAUACGUG
rnacentral:rRNA from 1 species